UGUAAGCGUAUACCAAAGUUGUUGCAGUUAAAACGCUCGUAGUCGGAAUUUGGCAGUUCCGGAUGUGUGCACGUCGUGUGCGCACUUCGCGGGGAUUGCUUUUGUGGUCUUGUGUAGGAUGAGGCACUUUUAUUAGUGAACGUCCUCACGCAACCACUUUUUACUGUGGGAAAAUCAGAGUGCUCAAAGCAGGCAUUUGCCGUGAAUGUAUUAGCAUGGAAUAAUAGAAUAGGACUUGGUUCUAUUUUGUUGGUUUGUUGGGACUGAGUAAUGAUUAAGAGGGACAGUUGGGGGCAUUUGUAUUUCGGUGCUAGAGGUGAAAUUCUUAGAUUACCGAAAGACAAACUGCUGCGAAAGCGUCUGCCAAGGAUGUUUUCAUUGA
rnacentral:rRNA from 1 species